rnacentral:rRNA from 1 species
CUCAGUGAAAAGGCAUUACCUCUUUACCGAUUGAUGAAGAAGUCCGACAAGUUUGAGUGGACUCCCGAAGCUGAUGCAGCAUUUGUAGAGCUCAAAGCUCUGCUCUCCACCCAGCCGGUGCUUGCUGCCCCAAUCAGCGAAGAGCCUUUGCUGCUUUACAUUGCAGCCACAGGACAAGUCGUCGGUAUGGUACUUACGGUCGAGCGGGAAGAAGAAGGGAAAACCUUCAAAGUUCAGCGCCCAGUAUAUUAUAUUUCUGAAGUCUUGACCCCAUCGAAGCAAAGAUAUCCUCAAUAUCAGAAGCUUGUAUAUGGGAUUUAUAUGACCACCAAGAAAGUUGCUCACUACUUCUCUGAUCAUUCCAUUACAGUCAUCAGCGACGCUCCAUUAUCAGAGAUCCUACAUAAUAGGGAUGCAACUGGUCGAGUGGCAAAAUGGGCGAUUGAACUC